UAGGGAAUCUUCCGCAAUGGACGAAAGUCUGACGGAGCAACGCCGCGUGAGUGAAGAAGGUUUUCGGAUCGUAAAACUCUGUUGUUAGAGAAGAACAAGUAGGAGAGUAACUGCUCCUACCGUGACGGUAUCUAACCAGAAAGCCACGGCUAACUACGUGCCAGCAGCCGCGGUAAUACGUAGGUGGCAAGCGUUGUCCGGAUUUAUUGGGCGUAAAGCGAGCGCAGGCGGUUUCUUAAGUCUGAUGUGAAAGCCCCCGGCUUAACCGGGGAGGGUCAUUGGAAACUGGGAGACUUGAGUGCAGAAGAGGAGAGUGGAAUUCCAUGUGUAGCGGUGAAAUGCGUAGAUAUAUGGAGGAACACCAGUGGCGAAGGCGACUCUCUGGUCUGUAACUGACGCUGAGGCUCGAAAGCGUGGGGAGCAAACA
rnacentral:rRNA from 1 species